UUUACAGUCUACAUGGGUCGGAGUAUAAAAAGGGUAGACUAGUUCGCUUGAAUUCAUCACAAGUUCUUCAAAUUUUUUAAAAAUCACUUUAGGCUUAGCGUCCAAGGCAGUAGCAGCCAAACCACUAGCAGCAAUGGUUCCCAAGAGAAUGUCUUCCGUUUCCCUUUUCCUGGUGGUCGUUUCGCUCUUCGUUCUUAUUAACUUCACUGAUUUCGCUUACUCGCAUCAAGACUGCGAUCAUGGAUUUCGAUUGAAUAGAGAUGAUACCUGUUCGAGUCUUGCCCAAAAAUGUGGCGUUAGCCUGAAAACACUUUUCCACCACAACGGACUUCUACAAUGGGGAAAUAACUGCGGCAAUCAGCCGGGUCAAUACGUUUGCUGCACUAACUGGAAUGGACGCAAAUAAAGACAAAUUCACAAACAAUAACGAAAAUCAUUUUGGCUUUAUCACUUUAUGAAAUUGAAUAUGAAAUCACUCUCUCCUUAUAUCAUUUUUGAUUGGCCUUCUUUUGCACUUGACAUUAGAUAAUACAUAUUCAUCCUUGUGUUGAAUUUUCCGAA
rnacentral:lncRNA from 1 species